rnacentral:rRNA from 1 species
UACGUAGGUGGCAAGCGUUAUCCGGAAUUACUGGGUGUAAAGGGAGAGUAGGCGGCAAGGUAAGCGAUAUGUGAAAGCCUUAGGCUUAACCAAAGGAUUGCAUAACGAACUAUCUAGCUAGAGUACAGGAGAGGAAAGCGGAAUUCCUAGUGUAGCGGUGAAAUGCGUAGAUAUUAGGAAGAACACCAGUGGCGAAGGCGGCUUUCUGGACUGAAACUGACGCUGAGGCUCGAAAGCGUGGGGAGCGAACAGG